GAUGAACGCUGGCGGCGUGCCUAAUACAUGCAAGUCGAGCGAACUGAUUAGAAGCUUGCUUCUAUGACGUUAGCGGCGGACGGGUGAGUAACACGUGGGCAACCUGCCUGUAAGACUGGGAUAACUCCGGGAAACCGGAGCUAAUACCGGAUAACAUUUUYUCUUGCAUAAGAGAAAAUUGAAAGAUGGUUUCGGCUAUCACUUACAGAUGGGCCCGCGGUGCAUUAGCUAGUUGGUGAGGUAACGGCUCACCAAGGCAACGAUGCAUAGCCGACCUGAGAGGGUGAUCGGCCACACUGGGACUGAGACACGGCCCAGACUCCUACGGGAGGCAGCAGUAGGGAAUCUUCCGCAAUGGACGAAAGUCUGACGGAGCAACGCCGCGUGAGUGAUGAAGGCUUUCGGGUCGUAAAACUCUGUUGUUAGGGAAGAACAAGUACAAGAGUAACUGCUUGUACCUU
rnacentral:rRNA from 2 species